rnacentral:sRNA from 1 species
AUUGAAAUGGUUUCAGAAGCAGAGACAGAGCAUCCCAUCAAAGCAUUUGGAUGGGCAGCAAGAGACACUUCUGGCAUUCUCUCCCCUUUCAAUUUCUCCAGAAGGGCAACAGGAGAGAAAGAUGUUGCAAUUAAAGUAAUGUACUGUGGAAUAUGUCACUCAGACUUACAUAUGUUAAAGAAUGAGUGGAGCUGUUCAAUCUAUCCUAUUGUUCCUGGACACGAGAUUGCUGGUGUGGUGACAGAGGUGGGAAGCAAGGUGCAAAAGUUAAAAGUUGGAGACAGAGUUGGUGUGGGGUGCAUGGUUGGAUCCUGUAGCUCCUGUCAGAACUGUAGUGAAGAUCAUGAGAAUUACUGCCCCAAAAUGAUUCUCACAUACAGUGCCAAGUAUGUUGAUG